ncrna:unclassified sequences PhotoRC-II RNA
CAACAUAUUCCUACUGCUCUCAACCGAGACCUCUAUAGGCAGUCUAAUACUUCGUCUCUCAUAUCCGAAAGUGAAGGGAUUUUCGGAAAUAAGUAUCGCA